AUAGGUGCAUACACGUGUCUUAGUCGUGUCACCUCCUACUACGCUGCUUUUGUUGGAAUGAACACAGCUCAAUUAUCUUUUUUUCAUCUUUCUCUUUCCCCUCACAAAUAUUCAAACAAAAAAUAGCAUAGAUUUCUAUCAGCAUUCUAGAGAUGCUAAGUAAAUCCUAGACCAUUGGCAUUUUAUAGUGUUACGCGUCUUCCCCUACUUGGAUCAGUUUGCUUUUGUUUCAAUUUCCUUCAAGACAUGUUCGAUGAAAUUGCCGAAUGAAAGCAAAACAUAUUUAUCAUGAAUAGAGAUGGGCCUGAAGAGACAAAUUUAUUCUGAAAAUAUCGUUGUUUGGCUGAAGAAGUUGAGUUGUUGGCUCAGCUGCUCGUGACUGUAGCCAUGAAUGGUAAGUCGGAGUUCGCUAUACCAUUGUUGUGAAUGUGUGUUUAUGGAUUUACUCGUAAUUUCCGUUUUAGAGAGAAUAUUAUAGUAAGUUCAAAGUACAAAAUUUUCUGCAUUCACUCUAAAUCAAACAGUAAGGUAUUUUUCAUUUGGGAACAGGCGAAGGCUGCAGAACAACUACUUUGAUGAUUUUACUUUUAAGUGCCCACAAUAUGUAUCCAAUCCAUCAAGCAAUCCUAAACUGAAACUUGAAAUAUCAUGCUUCCUACUCAUGAAUCUAACCAGCCAACUACAAGAGUCAUUAUUAUAAGAUGCCCUACAUGAAACCUUCAAGAAAAUGUGGUGGAAAUGAUAAUUUUAAUAAUGAAAGAAGAAGCGAGCUCAGGAAAUUCAAGCAAUCAUAUUAAAUUAUAUAAGUUGCUCUCUUUUGAGAUUCCCAAAUGUGUUAUUGGAGUUAUGUGACCAUUAAAAUUUCUCCUAAUAUUUGAUAGCCUCUUUUCUAUCUUUGAACUCAGAUGCAGGUACAAAUUUAUGCACUAACUUGGAAGUUGCUUUGUCCUGUUUAUCAGUUGCAGCCAAAAUGGAAGAGUUUGAUGCUCCUCUAACUGUUUUUUUUUUUUUUUGGCAGGUGCCUAAAUUUAUUAUUCAAAAGUGAGAAAUAUUUCUUUAUUUCUUGCAUUAAGUUUUUUGCAAUUUGAUUAUAUCGAAUGUUGAGGGGUUAGAAGGUAGGAAUUCAAAUGUUAAACAAAUAUGUACACUCUAUUAUCGGCAACCAAUUCCGCUAAUUUCAGGGGACUGGGCUAUGCCACUUGUUCUCGACAAAUUGUUUUAAUUUUUACAAAGAAAAUUAAUUCUCUUUCUUAAUAAAAGAAAUCAUACUCCCUCUGUCCCCAGUUUAUGUGAUUGCUUUUCGCUUCUCGAUAUUUAGACUAUGUGAACUUUAGCUAAUAUCUUAAAAAAAAUUAUCAUAUUGACUUGAGAAGAAUUGUAUAUUCAUAUAGAAAGCUCUUUGAAAUCCUGUGUGUUGGCACUUGGAAUAUUUCGGAAAAUGCAUAUACAUUUUUAUCAUUCAGCCUCUGCUAACCUCAGUUAUUGUCUCUUUUUGAAUCCUCACCUUUGCAUUGGAUGAAUAUUCUUAGGGUAUUUUUUUCAAUUAGUUGGUAAUGUGCAGAUUCAAAUAUCAUAAUUGAGUUGAGAGUCCUCAAAUAUGGUUGGACAACACAAAAUGUUUUCCGUAUUAUGAACUUUGUUGUAAAUGGAGGUAAAGCAGAGUCACAUAUGUUACUGUUUUUUGUUGUUUAUAUUCUUAUGUAUAUUUGGUAGUAUUCUGAAAGGGAUCAGAAUAUUUUUGUUGGGUAAGGUUGCUGAAUUGCAGAUAAUGUAAGCUCUUAUCAGCCUGAGUUAUACCAAGAACGAAGUUUAUAACGAACGAAAUGAUGAAGCAGCUGCAGACAUUAAUGGAUAAAAGACAAUUUUUUUUAUAAUCAUGAUCAACAUUUGUUUUUGUCUUGUGGGUCUAUGAGACAUCAGCACUAAAUUCCUCCUCAAAUCUUUUUUGGCAGUUGGUGAGCAACUCAAGAAGAUUUUUCAGGUUUACCUCUCCUUUCAUGUUUCGACAGUUUGGAAAUGGAAAAAGAUUGCGAUGCAGUUAGAGCACGAAUUUUGGAAUUCCUCUACCACAUGGAAAAAGGGAGUUGGGAGGCAGGAAAAAUGUAGAAAGGGAAAAAAGCAAGAGCAACAGUAGAGUUUCCUAGCCAUAUAGCCUAAUAUUCAUUGCUCUAAAAUUUUCAUAAUGCUUCAGGAAACAGAGGAGAGGAGACUGCAACCUGGUAUUUUAUCAUCCGUGCAAAAAGAUACAUUGGAAAAGUCCAAAAAGAAUCGUCCGAACGUGAAUGUCCUUUGUGCAUUCUGAAGAUUUAGUGUUUGAAUAUCUCAAGCUUGUGUAAAGAUACUGUUGUAAUUUGAAAGUAGAAAAUCACAGAUAAUAGACUGAUAUAGCAGUGGAAGAAAUCUGAUUUUAUUAACUUGUGGAGCUUA